UAACGAAUAUUGGGCGAUGGGCGAAAGCCUGACCCAGCAAUGCCGCGUGCAGGAGGAAGUCCUUCGGGAUGUAAACUGCUGUCAGGGGUCAACAAGCAAAGGGGCCUAAUACGCCCUGGCGUUGAGUCGCCCCAGAGGAAGCCUCGACUAACUCUGUGCCAGCAGUCGCGGUAAGACAGAGGAGGCAAGCGUUGUUCGGAAUCACUGGGCUUAAAGCGCGUGUAGGCGGCUCAGCAAGUGUCGUGUGAAAUCCCCUGGCUCAACCAGGGAACUGCACGGCAAACUACUGGGCUUGAGGUCGGUAGAGGUGCCUGGAACUCUAGGUGGAGCGGUGAAAUGCGUAGAUAUCUAGAGGAACGCCAGAAGCGAAAGCGGGGCACUGGGCCGAUUCUGACGCUGAGACGCGAAAGCGUGGGGAGCAAACA
rnacentral:rRNA from 1 species